rnacentral:lncRNA from 1 species
CAGAACCCUCAGGUUCUGAACAAGGUGCAGCAAGAACUCGACAGCAUCGUGGGCCGGGACGCCGUCGUGGAGGAGUCCCACCUCCCGCAGCUCCACUACCUCCGCAUGGUGAUCAAGGAGACGCUCCGGCUGCACCCGCCGGUGCCCCUCUUGGUGCCGCACAGCCCGAGCGCCGCCGCGACGGUCGGCGGAUACCACGUCCCCGAGGGCUGCCGCGUGCUCAUCAACGUCUGGGCGAUCCAGCGGAACCCACUGGUCUGGAACAAGCCACUCGAUUUCAACCCGGAUAGGUUCGCCAGGGACGGCGGCCACAAGGGGGACUUCACCGGUAGCCAGCUGGACUACCUCCCGUUCGGGUCCGGCCGGAGGAUGUGCGCCGGGAUGGCCAUGGGGGAGAAGGUGAUGGUGUACUCGGUUGCCAUGCUGCUGCAGGCGUUCGACUGGA